GGCCCUGUGGCCUAAUGGAUAAGGCGUCUGACUUCGAAUCAGAAGAUUCUAGGUUCGAGUCCUAGUAGGGUCG
rnacentral:tRNA from 1 species